rnacentral:rRNA from 1 species
GCUUACACAUGCAAGUCGAGCGGUAACAUUUCUAGCUUGCUAGAAGAUGACGAGCGGCGGACGGGUGAGUAACGCGUAGGAAUCUGCCUAGUAGUGGGGGACAACAUGUGGAAACGCAUGCUAAUACCGCAUACGCCCUACGGGGGAAAGGAGGGGAUCUUCGGACCUUUCGCUAUUAGAUGAGCCUGCGUGAGAUUAGCUAGUUGGUGGGGUAAAGGCCUACCAAGGCGACGAUCUCUAGCUGGUCUGAGAGGAUGAUCAGCCACACUGGGACUGAGACACGGCCCAGACUCCUACGGGAGGCAGCAGUGGGGAAUAUUGGACAAUGGGCGCAAGCCUGAUCCAGCCAUGCCGCGUGUGUGAAGAAGGCCUUAGGGUUGUAAAGCACUUUCAGGAGUGAGGAAGGGCGUAUAGUUAAUACCUGUAUGUUUUGACGUUAACUCCAGAAGAAGCACCGGCUAACUCUGUGCCAGCAGCCGCGGUAAUACAGAGGGUGCGAGCGUUAAUCGGAAUUACUGGGCGUAAAGCGCGCGUANGCGGUUUGUUAAGUCGGAUGUGAAAUCC